AUGUAGUCAUAUGCUUGUCUCGCCCAUGCCUUACUACUUGGAUAACCGUGGUAAUUCUAGAGCUAAUACAUGCUAAAAACCCCGACUUCGGAAGGGGUGUAUUUAUUAGAUACAAAACCAAUGCCCUUCGGGGCUCUUUGGUGAUUCAUGAUAACUAUACGAAUCGCACGGCCUUGCGCCGGCGAUGGUUCAUUCAAAUUUCUUCCCUAUCAACUUUCGAUGUUUGGGUAUUGGCCAAACAUGGUUGCAACGGGUAACGGAGGGUUAGGGCUCGACCCCGGGAGAAGGAGCCUGAGAAACGGCUACUACAUCCAAGGAAGGCAGCAGGCGCGCAAAUUACCCAAUCCCGACUCGGGGAGGUAGUGACAAUAAAUACUGAUACAGGGCCCUUUCGGGCCUUGUAAUUGGAAUGAGUACAAUUUAAAUCCCUUAACGAGGAACAAUUGGAGGGCAAGUCUGGUGCCAGCAGCCGCGGUAAUUCCAGCUCCAAUAGCGUAUAUUAAAGUUGUUGUGGUUAAAAAGCUCGUAGUUGAACCUUGGGCCUGGCUGGCCGGUCCGCCUCACCGCGUGCACUGGUCCGGCCGGGCCUUUCCCUCUGUGGAACCCCAUACCCUUCACUGGGCGUGGCGGGGAAACAGGACAUUUACUUUGAAAAAAUUAGAGUGCUCCAGGCAGGCCUAUGCUCGAAUACAUUAGCAUGGAAUAAUAAAAUAGGACGCGCGGUUCUAUUUUGUUGGUUUAUAGGACCGCCGUAAUGAUUAAUAGGGACAGUCGGGGGCAUCAGUAUUCAACUGUCAGAGGUGAAAUUCUUGGAUCAGUUGAAGACUAACUACUGCGAAAGCAUUUGCCAAGGAUGUUUUCAUUAAUCAGGAACGAAAGUUAGGGGAUCGAAGACGAUCAGAUACCGUCGUAGUCUUAACCAUAAACUAUGCCGACUAGGGAUCGGACGGUGUUAUUCAUGACCCGUUCGGCACCUUACGAGAAAUCAAAGUGCUUGGGCUCCAGGGGGAGUAUGGUCGCAAGGCUGAAACUUAAAGAAAUUGACGGAAGGGCACCACCAGGGGUGGAGCCUGCGGCUUAAUUUGACUCAACACGGGGAAACUCACCAGGUCCAGACACAAUAAGGAUUGACAGAUUGAGAGCUCUUUCUUGAUUUUGUGGGUGGUGGUGCAUGGCCGUUCUUAGUUGGUGGGGUGACUUGUCUGCUUAAUUGCGAUAACGAACGAGACCUUAACCUGCUAAAUAGCCCGCAUUGCUCCGGCAGUGCGCUGGCUUCUUAGAGGGACUUUCGGCUCAAGCCGAAGGAAGUUUGAGGCAAUAACAGGUCUGUGAUGCCCUUAGAUGUUCUGGGCUGCACGCGCGUUACACUGACGGGGUCAGCGAGUUCCUUGGCCGAAAGGCCCGGGUAAUCUAGUUAGCC
rnacentral:rRNA from 2 species